CAAAUGGUGUUAGUGCCUCAACCAGCUGGCUGGGACAAGCUUCUGGUAGGCCAUAUGUCGUAACUCCAGCUCCACUCUACAGCAAGCUGUCGGCCAUGUGCUUACAUCUACGGUUAGGAGCGGCUGCAUGCGAAUGGAAGGCUUGGAUCAGUUCGACUUUUCCCUUGAGUCUUCUCCUACAGCACUUCUUCUUCCUCAUUUCUUCUACCAACAAACAAACCCAAAAAAAAAAUGGUGAGUUAAGAGAAAUUAGAAGCUUCGGUGGUGAAGACAUUUGGGAAAACAUAAUAUGUGAGUGUACGAGUGAGAUUGGGAGUUCAAAACUCAGUUUAAAGACUCCAGAUUGUGCAGAAGGCUUCAACCGAAGCCAUUUUUCUGCAAUAUUUCUAGAAGUUACAGACCGAGCAGAUGAGGAAGAUAAUGAGGAACCGCCAACUGACCUACCCAUUGAAAUUUAUGAGGAUCCCAUGGAUUCGCAAAACUUGAAUGCAUGAUCGUCAUCACAUUCUGAUGAGUCCAAUAGUAUAAUGAAAGAGAUGGUAACAGAGCAGAUUAUGCGGACCAAAUCCCUUACAACUGAGGUCGUAGGAAUGACGCGAGGAAGACCAUUUAUAGAGUGUAUCGAGAGAUCAGGAGACUAGGAUCCUCCAACCAAGGCUGAAUUUGCCGAACUCUUCCAAGCCAUCCAAGGAUUGAUUACAGUUGUAGGAUAGAAUCAAGCCAACUCUUGUCGAAUUCUUGCCCCAGAAUACCGAACAGCUAAAAUGUCCAUUUCUUAUAACAUAGUAGAGUUUAGGAAGCUUAACUCGCCAAAUUUUGAAGGUGGCCCAGACCCCUUAGUAGUUGAAGCUUGGAUCCUACAGAUAGAGAAGCUUUUCUUAAUCCUGGACCUGACUGAGGAACAAAAAGUUCUCCUAGCAACCUUUAUGUUAAACGGUGAAGUAUAACAUUGGUGGCAACUUAAGAAGGAAGUCCUACCUACCCCUACCACAUGGGAAGUUUUUAUAGAUGCAUUACUUGAUAACUUUUUCCUCACUUGACGGUUGUCCAGUAUGCAGCCCGUUUUAUCCAAUUGUCUAGGUUCGCCCCUCUAUUAGUCACUAUUGAAAGUCGCAAAGUUAGAAAGUUUCUAAAAGGCUUGCGUGCCGACAUCUAUGAUUAGGUUGCGAUGCUGAGACCCAGCUCGUAUCUGGAGGUGCUAGAACAUACCUAGUUGGCCAAAGACCUCAUUUAGGUUAGGCACCAAUGUAUUGUCCGAGUCUAUGCCCAACAACAACAACCCCAACAGCCUAGAAGAAGAUUGCCUAGCCCGGUAAGUAGCCACCCUGAUAAGCAAACCAGAGUUUCCCUUCCCCAUGCCUUGCCUCCACCAACUAGACAGCCUGGCCGACCUUCCUAGUCCUGUCAGCAUUUUUGUCGCUGGCAUGGUGACUUACCCUAUCGGUAUAUCAAUCAUGUUUGCUAUACGUGCGGAAGAACCCAACAUCUUAUAAAGAAUUGCCCCCAGUGGCCGAAGAAUGUGGCUAGGCCUGUAACACAGGGUCGUGUGUACCACCUAGAUGAACUCGAUGCUCUCCCCACUCCUGAUUUUAUUCAGGAUAUGCUUUCUAUUCAUGAUACUUUUGUCAAUGCUUUGAUCGAUACAGCCCCUCCCAGAUGAAGAAGAAAAUGAGCAAUCGUUUGCUGACCUACGCAUUGAAGUUUAUGAGGAUUUAGUGGAUCCACAAAACUUGAGUGCAUGAUCGUUCUCACACUCUGGAAUGACACGAGGAAGACCAUCCGUAGAGCAUACUGAGCGAUCUGAAGCCCCGGAUAACCCGAGCAGGGCUGAAUUUGCCAAACUCUUACGAGCCAUCCAAGGAUUGACUGCAGCCGUAGGAAAAAAUCAAACCAACCCUUGUCCACCUCCUACUCUAGAAUACUGAACAACCGAAAGGUCCAUUUCCCAUAACUUAGUGGAGUUUAGGAAGCUUAACUUGCCACAUUUUGAAGGUGCCCCUAACCCCUUAGCAGCUGAAGCCUGGAUACUAUAAAUAGAGAAGCUUUUCUCUGUCUUAGACCUGACUGAGGGAUAGAAGGUUCCCCUAGUAGCUUUUAUGCUCAAUAGUGAAGCUAAAUAUUUGUGGCGAUUUAAAAAGGAAGUCCUACCUACCCCUACCACCUGGGAGGUUUUUAUGGAUGCAUUCUUUGAUAACUUUUUUCCAACCUAUAUCCAAGAAAAGGAGGAGGAAUUUCAGGAUCUCUGCCAAAGAAAUCUAAUGGUUGCCCAAUAUGUAGCCCGUUUUGUUCAACUCUCUAGAUUUACCCCUCUAAUGGUCACCCCCGAAAGCCAAAAAGUUAGGAAGUUUCUAAAGGGCCUUUAUGCUGACAUCUAUGCCUAGGUCGUGAUGCUGAGACCUAGCUCACAUGUAGAGGUGCUAGAACAUGUCUAGUUGGUCGAAAACUUCAUCUUGGCCAAGCACCAACACAUUGCCCAAGUCCAUACCUAACAACAACCCCAAUAACAUAGAAGGAGAUUGUCUGACCCAAUAAGUAGCCACCUCGAUUAACAAACUAGAGUUGCCCUUCCCCCUACCUUGACUCCACCAGCUUAACCUGCCUGAUCUAACCAACCCUGUCAACAUUGCGGUCGAUCGCAUGGUGAACUGCCCUAUUGUUGUAUCAAUCAUGCUUGCUAUUAGUGCGGAAGCACCCAACAUCUUAUAAAAGACUGCCACCAGUGACCAAAAGAUGUGGCUAGGCCUGUAGCUUAGGGUCGUGUGUACCACUUAGAUGAAUCCGGUGCUCUCCCUACUCCUAUUCUCAUCCAGGAUAAAGAAGAAAAUGAGGUAUCGCCAGCUGACCUACCCAUUGAU